rnacentral:lncRNA from 1 species
AAUCUGAAGUAUUUAAAACCUAUUUUUUAUUUUUCUAUUUAUAACUAUUCACUAUCUUUCUUAUUCCAUCUUAUCUAAUCAAACGUAAUUUUUCUUAUUCCCAGAAAUAACCUAAUUUUCAUCCAAAUGCAAAAUUGAUCUAAUCCCCACUUAUAUCUCAAUUUAUACCUAUCUUUGAAAUAGCCAUUUUUUAUUUAUUCCCGAACCAAACGAUAUCAAAAGCUGUCAAGAGCCGCAUAAUUGCAACGUCUAUCAAUCCUAUGCAAAAACACCCAUAACAUCCUUGCCUAACAUACGAGUGAACUCAAGUUCCAUGAGCCAUUCCAAACCCUAGUUAGUUAAUUCGUGUUUAAUACGCGAAUUAAACGGCGAUUUUUUUACAUACGAAUUAAACGGCAAUUUUCGUAUUUUUCCGAAAUUUCGAAAAAAAACUCGAUUUCUUCCUCAAAAAUCAUUAUUCGCGAAUUAUUCGCGAUUCGCGAAUAUUUCGCCCAAAAAAUCGGCGAUCGCGGUCGCGGAC